rnacentral:rRNA from 1 species
AUUGAACGCUGGCGGCAUGCCUAACACAUGCAAGUCGAACGGCAGCACAGGGGAGCUUGCUCCCUGGGUGGCGAGUGGCGGACGGGUGAGUAACGCAUGAGAAUCUGCCUGGCAGAGGGGGAUAACCCGGGGAAACUCGGGCUAAUACCGCAUACGCCCUACGGGGGAAAGGGGGGUUUCGGCCUCUCGUUGCCAGAUGAGCUCAUGUCCGAUUAGCUAGUUGGCGGGGUAAAGGCCCACCAAGGCGACGAUCGGUAGCUGGUCUGAGAGGAUGACCAGCCACACUGGGACUGAGACACGGCCCAGACUCCUACGGGAGGCAGCAGUGGGGAAUAUUGGACAAUGGGGGGAACCUGAUNCAGCCAUGCCGCGUGUGUGAAGAAANGUCUUCCGGAUUUGUAAAGCAACUUUUAAGUUGGGGAAGGAAAGGCUUUUAGGUUAAUUACCCUUGAAGNUUUUGACGUUUACCCAACAGAAAUAANCACCCGGCUAACUUUCGUGCCCAGCAGGCCCGGGUUAUAACNAAANGGGG